ACUCAGGGCUGCCAAAAAAAAAAAUCAUACCCUCAAAUGAGAGUAUGACACCUCCUCCACGGAAUCAAUUUUCUUUUGUUAGAAAUGAGGUUUUGAUUCUAUUUUUAUUUUCUGAAGUACCAUGAGGAUUAGGGCUUCAAGAUUUCAUUCCGUCUUGAAAAUCUCAAUAAAAUAUUGAAUGAAGACACUACAGUAAUGUUCUUGAAGGAGUCUAAUCUUUAGGGUUCCUCCUUUACAAGUGGUUCUACUAGUGGAGCUCAUAGUAGAAUUCCUGCUAACAGGCAAACAAAAGAAAUGAAGUUCCAGCCGAGUUUCUUUUUCCGCCACGAUGGGAGAAAAUACGGAAGCGAACCCCAGGGUUUCAAAGUUAGUAUUGGCUACAUAUGAUCCUAUUAAAAUUUGAAGUUCCGUGGAAGGCAUUCAUGUAGAUGGUGUCAGUUACUUGCUUAAUAUUUAGCACUUCAGCCAGAUAGAUUACGAGGUCUGUCGCUGUGCCAAAGGUGAAACAGUUCCGUCAGAUAUCAAAAAGCUGAUGCAGUAAUAGUGGUGUCACCAGGUAGCAUCUUAAUCUCUGUUUUUGAGUGCAAAACCCUGAAGACCUCUAAAGUUAUACUGGCAAAAUAGCAAUGUUGUAAGCGAGUGGGUUACUUGAAAUAGAUAUAAAAGGUAAGACUAAUGGUGCUGACCUAAAUUACGCUGGACCAUGAUUGAGUCUAAUUGUGUUGCUCAUUAAGCAUUGGGUCGACAAGUAUCACACUUAUAUACAACUAGUGAUGUACUUUGUAAAGGAGUGCGAGUACAUCCGGAUAAGCAGGAGAAGUAUGAUGCUGUCAUUAUGAACAGAGUCAGUGACGUAUAGCUAUGUUAUGCCUUAAAUAUUUUAAGUAGCAUAAGAAGUACGCUUAGAAAUACUUUUCCUUUUCCAUUGUCGAAGACAAGAGACUUCUAACUGACUCGACGUGUCAUCAUCAAUUCAUAUCCAUUCAGUGUAUCUUUUGUAUUUUUAUGUUAGUUGGAAAGUCCUUGGCAUGUUUAAUUCUUGCAUCCAUCUUAGUUUACUUCACUCAAGUUCAACCAUUCAUUUGUUGGAAAGGAAAAGAAAAGGAAAUGGAUGUGAUCUCUUUUCCUUCUAAAAAGUAAAUAUUCUUGUUUUUAGAAAAUUUAUAAAUGUCAGUCAAAAGUAAAUGACGCACACUUUGUUUCUGUAA